AGCUCGGACUUGAAGAAGCGCAACAACAUCGAGCUCAUGAAUACCUUUUGAAUCGCGUGGCCAACACUGACUCGAAGAAGCAACAUCAAUGGUCCCCUUGUUCAUCCAACGGAGCUCCAAAGCAAGCUGGCAAGGUAACAUAGAUCCAUCUCAAUUCGAUUCUUGGGCUGCACACUCCAACCUAAGAUAACACAGAUCCAUUUCAGUCCAUGUCUUAGGCUGCACGCUAAAGGACAAAUCUGAUAGGAGGAUUGUGUGGCUAGCCAAAUAAAAUAUAGAAGUUCUUGCUGGUUCACAACAUGUGAUCCCUACAGCCUUACUGUUGACUACGCAGUGGUGUUAGUCAUUUGUUUCGCGAUUUACAGAUGAACUGUGCAAUUAGUUUUUGUUUUCAUAUAUAUUUAAUGCACCAUACAUGUGCCGCAAGAUUCGAUGUGAUGGAGAAUCUUGAAAAUUUUUGAGAACUAAACAAGGCUAUGUAUGAGGAGUGAGGACUUACCCAUGAAAGUCACAAAUACUGGACUAAAGAGACACGUCCGUUCCAUGAGGCCACAAAACUUUGAAGGAAAAAACUCUACAUAACCCCUCAAACUAUUUAGAAUGGACUACUUUACCUCUCGAAUUAUAAAACUGGAUAUCCUACUCCCUGAAUUUUCAAACCCGGUCAAAUAACGUCAUCGAGUGGUUUAAUGGUGGUUUUGUCUUUUUUUAUUUAUUUCUAUUGAAUCUUUGAAAAACAUAAUAAAUCAUAGAAAAAUCAUAAAAUAAAAAGUUCUAUUUUGUUGGACUCCUGAAGAGUAGAUCUACAUAGCGAAUAUAUAAUAUGGUAUACUAUAGUACAAAGUUUAUGUUGUAGCUUUAAAUCUAUGUUUUCCUAUAAUUAAUUUGAAUAAUUCAUAUAUGUAGUUCCUAUGGUCCACUUGUGGUGCAACAUUUAUGGUGGACUCAUUAUUGUAUGCUUGAACUAUGGUAAAAAUUUCAUACUCAUUGGAUCAUGAAUCACUUAGUUAUAGAUAAAACAUAGAUUUAACAAGAAUAAAGCUAUAAAUCUAUAACUAAGUUAUACGUGAUCCAAUGGGUACAAAACUUUCACCAUAGAUCAAGAAUACAAUAAUGAGCCCACCAUAAAAAAUUUACCACAAUUGAACCAUAGAAACUACAUAUAUGAAUUAUUCGAAUUAAUUACAGAAAACAUAGAUUUAAAGCUACAUCAAAAACUUUGUCCAAAGUAUACUAUAUUAUAUAUUCACUAUAUAGAUCUACUUAUGAGGAGUCCAACAAAAUUAAUUUUUUUUAUUUUAUGAUUUUUCUAUGAUUUAUUAUGAUUUUUCAAAGAUUCAGCGGAAAUAAAUAAAAAAAAGACAAAACCAACCUCCAAAACCACUCGAGGGUUAUUUGACCGAUUUUGAAAGUUUAAGGGGUAGAACAUCUUGAUUUUUACUUCGGGGGGUGAAGUAGUCCACCCUAGAUAGUUUAGGGGGUUAUGUAGACUUUUUUGUACAUAUGGGUGUCCAAAUCAAACCCUCUUUUGGGGAUUUUGACUACUCAAGCUAGGGGAGAAGAGGUUCGAUGCCUAGGGUGGUUCGAAGCCAUUUUUCCCUGGAAGAUUCGAAUGCCGCCUCCCUUGUCUGCCUCUCCCAGUAAGUGCUAGUUGGAGGUAAUAAAUUAAAGGAAAUAUGAAUAAUACGCCACAUAAAUUUGGCAAAAUGACAGUCAAAGAACAGAUGUUGUAUGGAUUCUUUAGAAGAACAAAAACAACAUUUCUUAUGUUCUUGUUGCCACUGUUGCCUUAGUAAGUUACCCUUUGUCAAAAUUACUCCCUUAAACAAGUACCACAAGAAAACUUUGAUUUGAGAGGUCAUUUUAGUUUCCAAAUAAAUGUGGUAAUAGGUAUAACUUAUGCUGUCAAUAAUGCUCUGUACAUGGAUUUAACUAAGAAUAAUCCAUUCUAGUGUAGCCCCCAUACAAAACGAUCCCUUUGGUUUGUUAGUUGUACACUAGCAACCAUAGCUACGAUAUCGUGCCAAGCUUGUAAAUUAACUCCUACUAGAGAUCUCUUGAAAGCUACAUUUAAUGGUACUGUGGAUAGUACCAUUCUUACAUAAGCACCUUUUUUUCCUAACAAUGCUAUAAAGUGCAGGAAAGAUGGAUCUUAGUGGUGACAGUGUUAUCCACGAAUCCUCCCAAAAUUGCACCUGUGACUCGUCACCCAAAUCAAACUUGCCUAGCGAGAGAAACUCCCCCUUGACAUUCAUGAGGCCAGCCCAAAACUAAGAGUCUCCAGACAUGUAUUGAACCUGAGUCAAAGUUUUGUGUCUCAAAUAUUUAUUCCUAAGAAUCUCUUGCCAAACCCCAUCUCUAUUAAACAACUUAAAAAGCCAUUUACUUACGAGACACUUGUUGUGGACCUCUAAAUUAACACUCCCAACCCUCCUUGGUCUUUUGGAGUGCAAACUACCUCCCACUUAGUUAACCUAUAUUUUUUUUCUUAUAGUCAUCACUCUGCCAGAAAAAUCAUGAUCUGAAGUAAUCCAAUUUCUUUAGAACCCCUCUAGGUACUUCAAAGAACAAAAACAUGAACAUGGGGAGACUACUCAAAACUGAGUUAAUCAAAACCAGCCUCCCUUCUACCAACAACAAUUUACUUCUCUAACAAUUCAGCCUUUUUUGAAAUCUUUCUUCAACAAGUUUCUGGUCUUUAUCAUGAGUGUUCUAUGAUGCAUGGAUAUUCCUGGAUAUCGAAAAGGAUAUGACCCCAAAUCACAUCAAAAAAUAAGUGUAUACCCCAAAGCACAAAGCAAAAGCUUCAUGUUUUUGGCUGCAUGGAUACCAGAUUUGUGGAAGGAGAGAAACAAGAUUAUCAAGGAUGCUAUCAAGAAGAACAUCUCAACAUGGGUGUUUGGGUAUAAGAGUGACAAGAUCACUUGAGACAUGGAGGCCACAAUUCCUUUCCUUCUCGCUCUUAAGGUGAGUGACACUGGUACAACCGACCUUUCUACUGGCGCCACCUUUUUUCUACUAGCGAUUUGAAACGAACAUGUGCUAGUAGAAAGAAAAUAAUGGGCCCUUGACUCAAACCACCUGUGCAAAUAUAUAUUUACACAGGCUGUUUGUGUAAGUUAACCGCCUAUAGAAAUGUAAAGUUUGUUCUGAUGGUUUUCUUUGCACAUCCGCCUGCAUAAAUGUAUUUACACUAGCAGUUUUGAUUGGGCAGCCAUUUGUAUAAAUGGACAU
rnacentral:lncRNA from 1 species